CUUUGGAUAUUAUGCAUACAAAGUUAUUCAUGGGAUUACCAAAGUGAUUCAGAAGAUGGCUCUAUUGAGUACCUUUCCAACAACUUGUGUUGGUUUGUCUGGCAUUGCUAUCCUUGGAAGGUAUUGCCAGAAAAUUUUAAUCCCAGAAGCCUUGUUCAUCUUGAUCUCUGGGGAGUUCGUUGCAUUAUUUAUGGAAUGAAACAAAGCAAUUGCCGUCUCUACGGAGGCUAAAUCUAAGUUGCUCCAAAAGCCUGAAGAGAACACCAGAUUUCAAGGGGAUGCCAAAUUUGGAGUAUUUGUAUCUAGGGGAAUGUACGAAUCUUGAAGAGGUUCACCAUUCCUUGGGGUGUUCCAGAAAACUCAUCCUGUUGAAUUUGUCUUUUUGUACAACACUUGAGAGGUUUCCAUACGUUAAUGUGGAAUCUCUUGAAUCUCUGAAUCUAAGCUUCUGCUAUAGUUUAAAGAAAUUUCCAGAAAU